rnacentral:rRNA from 1 species
UACGAAGGGGGCUAGCGUUGUUCGGAAUUACUGGGCGUAAAGCGCAUGUAGGCGGCUUGGCAAGUCGGGGGUGAAAUCCUGGAGCUCAACUCCAGAACUGCCUUCGAUACUGCUUGGCUAGAGUAUGGAAGAGGUAGGUGGAACUGCGAGUGUAGAGGUGAAAUUCGUAGAUAUUCGCAAGAACACCAGUGGCGAAGGCGGCCUACUGGUCCAUCACUGACGCUGAGAUGCGAAAGCGUGGGGAGCAAACAGG